AUGAGGAGGUGCCUGUUGCGACGAAGGAGCAACAUCAGGAUGGCACCGACGACCUGCCGCCGAGCGAAGGCGAGGGGGCGAUACCCGUA
ncrna:unclassified sequences GA-cis RNA